ensembl:lncRNA novel transcript
GGCUGGGCCUUUGUCUCUCGCUCCCACCAGAGCUUGGAAUCCGUCUCUGCUCUUCUGCAUUCUCCACCUCGGGAGCCCCUGGGGACUCUGUGACGGCCUCUGUUGCCCUGUGAUCUGCAGGUCCGGAGAGACGCACAGCUAAGAUGUCAGGACAUCCUGGAAGCUGGGAAAGGUAAAUCUUGCUACUGCUCACUCUUUGGGUGCACGCUGCUUUUAAGAGCUGUAACACUCACCGUGAAGAUCUGCAGCUUCACUCCUGAAGCCAGCGACACCACGAGCCCACCAGAAGGAAGAAACUCCGAACACAUCUGAACAUCAGAAGGGACAGACUCCAGACGCGCCACCUUAAGAGCUGUAACACUCACUGCGAGGGUCCGCGGCUUCAUUCUUGAAGUCAGUGAGACCAAGAACCCACCAAUUCCGGACAAACCAGUACCUGUGUCUUCCCUACAGGUCUUGCCAUCUCUAAGCUGGACCUGGUGACCUUUUUGGAGGGAAAGAAAGAGCCCUGGACUGUGAAGAGUGAGGAGACCAUAGCUGCACAGCCAGUCCAGAUGUAUAAUCUCAUCCCUGAACAUUUCUGAUGGUGUGAUUAUGACAUGUGACUUUAUCUGGCAACAGAGUGAGUUGUUGCUCCCGCCUGAGCCCAGCCCCCAGAAAGGAUUGUGACAUAUCGUUGGACCCAGAAUUGAGGUGGAAUUGUGACAUAUAACUUGGCCAAGCACACAGAUGUAAUGGUGUGGUGACUCUCAUACCUAGAACUGGGACCUGUGCAGGAUUGUUAAUUCAUUACUGGACAUUCCUGUGGGUGUGAUUGUUACAUAUGCCUAUGUUCAGCACCCGAGUGAUUUGAUUUUGCUGCCUGGUCUCAGUCCAAAUGUAAGAUUGUGAUUUAUCGCUGAAUCCAGCACCUCGGUGAUUUGACUCUCCCUUUUUUUGUGGGAGGGAUCCUGCAAAUUUUGGGUAUUGUCAAUUAUUGCUGAAUCCUGUACCCAUGUUAUGACUCUCCCAAAUGUGCCUUACCUGUUGUGGCACAAUAUAUCACAUUAGACAUUGUUAAAUAUUGUUGGGUUCAACACCUGGGUGAUGGAUGUAACUUUUUUUCUGGGCCUGCCUACAGGGGACCUUGUGACAUAACUCAAUGCCCAUCAUCAUGGUAAUGUUACUCUCUUCUCCUGCCUGAUCUCUGCUCACAGAGAAAUUGUGACACAUCACUGGCCUAGCAUCUAGGUGAUGUGACUCUCCUCUUUUUUUCAGGCUCUGCAUAUUUGGGUAUUGUGACAUAUUGCUGAACUCAACACCUAAGGGAUGGGAGUCUCCUACCUAGGCCCUUCCUACAGGGGACAUUGUGACAUGUCUCUGCAUUCCUCAUCCAGGAGAUGUGACUCUCCUUUUCUGCCUACACCCUGCCUACACAGAAAGUUGUGGCAUAUUGCUGUGGUCAGCAACCAGAUGAUAUAUUUCUCCUGCCUGGGUCUUUAUUACAGGAAAGAUGAUUGACAUAUUACUGGGCCCAGCAUCCAGAUGAUGUGACUCUCUUCUUCUGUUGGUCCUUGCUUACAGGGAAACUGUAGCAUAUUGCUACACCCAACACCUAGCUUAUGUGAUUCUUCUUUUAGGUUUGCCUUCAGGGAACAUUGUGACAUAUUGCUGGGCCCUGCACUGAUAAUUUGUGACUCUUCUGCCUGUGAUUUGCCCACUUGGGGCAUUGUGACAUAUUGCUGGGUUUAACACUCAGGUGAUGUAACUUUUAUGCCUAGGCCUUGCUUACAGGAGGCAUUUUGAAAUGUCUUUGUGGCUGGGCAUGGUGGCUCAUGUCUGUAAUCCCAGCGCUUGGGGAGGCCAAGGUGGGCAGAUCACAAAGUCAGGAGUUCGAGACCAGCCUGGUCAACAUGGUGAAAACCUGUCUCUACUAAAACAAAACAAAACAAAACAAAACAAAACAAAACAAAACAAAACAAAACAAAUAAAACCACAAAAAUCAGCCAGGUGUGGUGAUUGGUGCCUGUAGUUGCAGCUACUCAGGAGGCUGAGGCAGGAUAAUCGCUUAAGUCCAGGAGGUGGAGGUUGCAGUGAGCUGAGAUUGCACCACUGCACUCCAUCCUGGGCAACAGAGUGAGACUCCAUCUCCAAAAAAAAUAAAAUAAAAUAAAAUAAAAAUACAAAUGUCUUUGCACCAAUCC